rnacentral:rRNA from 1 species
ACUGCUCAGUAACACGUGGACAACCUACCCUGAGGUCGGGGAUAAACCCGGGAAACUGGGUAUAAUACCCGAUAGAUCUAGAUCGCUGGAAUGCUUUUAGGUCUAAAGUUCCGACGCCUCAGGAUGGGUCUGCGGCCUAUCAGGGUAGUAGUGGGUGUAAAGUACCUACUAGCCCACGACGGGCACGGGUUGUGAGAGCAAGAGCCCGGAGAUGGAUUCUGAGACACGAAUCCAGGCCCUACGGGGUGCAGCAGGCGCGAAACCUUUACAAUGCUGGCAACAGCGAUAAGGGGACCUCGAGUGCUACGAUACAAUCGUGGCUGUCUAGUUGCCUAAAAGCAAUUGAUAGCAAGGGCCGGGCAAGACCGGUGCCAGCCGCCGCGGUAACACCGGCGGCUCGAGUGGUAACCGCUAUUAUUGGGUCUAAAGGGUCUGUAGCCGGCUUAGUUAGUCUCUUGAGAAAUCUGGCCGCUCAACGGUCAGGCGUUCAGGGGAUACUGCUAAAGCUCGAGACCGGGAGAGGUGAGAGGUACUUCAGGGGUAGGGGUGAAAUCUUGUAAUCCUUGAAGGACCACCAGUGGCGAAGGCGUCUCACCAGAACGGAUCUGACGGCAAGGGACGAAAGCUAGGGGCACGAACCGGAUUAGAUACCCGGGUAGUCCUAGCCGUAAACGAUACUCGCUAGGUGUCGGCCACGGUGCGACCGUGGUCGGUGCCGUAGGGAAGCCGUGAAGCGAGCCACCUGGGAAGUACGGCCGCAAGGCUGAAACUUAAAGGAAUUGGCGGGGGAGCAC